ACGAUAAGGACGCUGGAGGAUUCGAGGGAGGGAGGGAGAGAGAGAGAGCGACUCUGAGAGCGAAGAAAUAAUCGAGAUUUGGGUUUGUUUUGGAAGAGGUUCCGUUUCAGUAGAGAGAGAGGGAGAGACAGAAACACUGAGACGAGUGUGAUAGAUAAGAGAAGAGCGAUCCGCAGAGAGAUCGGGUGUGAUAGAUUCCCGUCACUACGGACUACUAUACUCAGCAAGAGCAGCCGGACGGACUACUAUACUAUAAGCAUACUUUCAUUGUGUUGGAUAAGCAAUUGGUUGCGGGAGAGUUCAAACAUGUAGAGGCCCAUGUGGAAGCCAUGGUAGGUGAUGAUGUGAAUUUAUAUAUGAAUGACCUGGGGUAUUCUCCUUUUCCUAUCAGGCUUGCUUCUUCAGACAGUUUUUCAGGUCAGUUACUAUGAUUACCUGACUCUGAGGCAUGGUUUUAUCUCAGACAAUCACAAUUGUCUAAAGAAUAGUCUUUGCUUCCUCACUUUCUGCCUAGGAUGAUUUCCAACACUAUCAAUGACCACCAGCUCAGUCAUAAUAAGAAUUGAAAGCAUCACAAGAUUGACAAAAAGCAUGCUUUGGCUGCACAAGCUGUUCAUUCGCAGAAGACCAGCAAAACCAAAGCUAUAAAACAAUGCAGUUUAUCUGGCUUCUGUAGGAUCAAAAGCACACAGAAAAUUUUCUUGCAUACAGGAAAGGAUUAAAACCACAUAGCUCAGCAUAUUGACCAAAGAGAAAAAAAGCUGAACUUCCAAACCUUCCAUCAUUCCAUUCAUGUCUCUCUUGGAAUGCGCACGCAAGUCCAUGCACUCAAAACAAAGGCCCAUCUGGAUGCAUCAAGUUCAAAAAGAUCUCUCAUUCUAAUUUUGUCUCUGAGAAGUAAGUGGAGUUGAGCAACACAUAGAAGCUCAACAGUAUAAUUGUCUGUACAAGCAACUAUCAUUUGCAGUAACACCCGGUCACAACCUACAUUAGCUGCAGACGAAUCAUCUCGAAGGACCUCAUGUGAACAGUUUGUUUGAACUACAAAUGUAGCUAUUUUUGUUGACACCUAACCAAUUUUGUAUAGCAAAACAGCUUUGCUUAGGAAAUCAAUUUUGCAACCAAAUUAAAAUACCAGAUUCUACUUGGUAUUUCCACUUUUGUAAUAUAACUAUAUAAUAUUCCGUAAAAACAAUGAAUCUAUAAAUUUGACAAGAAAAAAA